ACGGGAGGCAGCAGCUAAGAAUAUUCCGCAAUGGGGGGAACCCUGACGGAGCGACGCCGCGUGAAUGAAGAAGGCCGGAAGGUUGUAAAAUUCUUUUGGACGUGAAGAAGGAGCCUUGGAGGGAAUGCUAAGGUGGUGACGGUAGCGUCUGAAUAAGCAACGGCUAAUUAUGUGCCAGCAGCCGCGGUAACACGUAAGUUGCGAGCGUUGUUCGGAAUUAUUGGGCGUAAAGGGCAUGUAGGCGGCGGUGUAAGCCUGAUGUGAAAUACCGGGGCUUAACUCCGGAAUUGCGUUGGGAACUGCGCAGCUUGAAUUACUGAGGGGGAGCCGGAAUUCCAGGUGUAGGGGUGAAAUCUGUAGAUAUCUGGAAGAACACCGAUGGCGAAGGCAGGCUUCUAUCAGAUGAUUGACGCUGAGGUGCGAAGGUGCGGGGAUCAAACAGGAUUAGAUACCCUGGUA
rnacentral:rRNA from 1 species